GGAGAAAUGGCCGAGUGGCUGAAGGCGCUCGCCUGCUAAGCGAGUAUGGGUGUUGUUAUCCAUCCAGAGUUCGAAUCUCUGUUUCUCCG
rnacentral:tRNA from 1 species